AUUCAUAGAUGUUAGAAUAUUUUUUAAAAUAAGUUGACAGCACAGUCAAUUGCUCAAAAUUGUGAAACACAGUCAAGUAAAAAAGUCUUAAGAGAGCGACUUGUGAAAUUAGAGGCAUAACCAAAUUAAAACACACGUCAGCACUGACCGUGAAUUGGAUUUUACUUAAAUAUUAAUACAACCGAUAAUCUUAAAAGUAGUAUUCGAAUAAGAAAGUGAAAGAGUUGUUGAAGAGUGAAUUUCUCGAACGAUUAUAAAUAGUCUUGUCUAUACAAAUUCUGAUACAUAAAACUACAAUCAAGGGACUUAAAGCGUAGCAACUUGCAAAUAGUCAACAAUUUAAAUACGUAUUUUACUUCUUCAAAUUCGGCUUAAAUUUUUAAUAACAGAAAAGUUCGAUUGGAAAGAGAUUUGCAGUUGCAAUUAUAGCUGAAAAUAAUUAUAAAGUAAAGACAUGAAUAUUAAUUCCAAUACUUAAGCUGACCACAAAAUAACUGUGUCAAGUGGCAAUUGACUCUCUGAAUAUUUGAUGUUGUUUGUUUCAAUUUACUUAAAGUAGUUAUUAAAUAUGAACAAGGAUUUUGGAGCAUUUCAUUAUAUUUGGGCACACAUCGUGAUGAUGCCUCGAAGGCUAAACUAAAGUUGAAUUUCAAUUUCAAACAAGAAAACCGCAAGACAAAUGAAGUUAAGCGACCCCAAAUAGAAUUCAACACAAAAUUUCCAAAAUCAUUGCUCAAAGCUGCCACAGACGUUGCGCCUGUGUGUGAGGCAUGUUAAACAAUAAGUGGGUGGCAGUUUCACCAAGGUAGAGAGGGGUAAACGCGGAGUGAACCAAACGCACUUGUAGUUGUUGAAGCGUAUCAAACGGGCGUGUAAGAGGGUUUUAAUCUAUGCUCUGCAAAUUGUUGCUACAAAAGGAUUUUCAGUUAGCCCAAAACAACAGCUGAAGAGCCAAACGAGGUAGCUGGGGGAAUAAUGUGUCUACAACAUUCUAUAGGCAUGAAGAAGAAGGCUCAGACUCAGCUGAUGAACAAAAAUAAUAAACUGUAGCAAAACAUUGAAAACUGGGUUUUGCUGUUGGCUGUGUUGCCUGAUUUGAAAACAAUCUUGGCGAUGCCCUUGGCAACAACAGCGAGAGAGAAAACAACAGCAAUUUGUAAAAGAGUUGUGUAAAAGGGUUGGCUGAUUUCUGAGCUUGGCUGCUUAGUUUUUAUAAGCCCGUGUAAGCAGAUUUGAUCUUAAUACAAUGCAAAAUUAACAACAAUUUUCAAAGCUAAACAGCGGCUGACACAACAAGCAAAGUCAAUUUGUUAAGAGUACGAUAAUUGACACUGUGAAGUGGAAAGCUUCGUUUACCUGGAGUAGACAAUGCUUUUGAUUUUGAGAAUAUGGACGAGUGAGUUGCGAAUAAAAUGAUUUGCACAAAGUUUGCUUUUAUUUGAGACAGAAAUAUAAAUUGCAUUAAAAAGUUAGCUUAAGAAU